rnacentral:rRNA from 1 species
GAUGAACGCUAGCUACAGGCUUAACACAUGCAAGUCGCGGGGCAGCAUGUAUCUGGCUUGCCAGAUACGAUGGCGACCGGCGCACGGGUGAGUAACGCGUAUCCAACCUGCCCAUAACCACGGCACAGCCCGUCGAAAGGCGGAUUAAUGCCGUAUGAGGUUCCAGUGUAGCAUUAUGGUGGAACGAAAGGAUUUGGCGGUUAUGGAUGGGGAUGCGUCCGAUUAGCUUGUUGGCGGGGUAACGGCCCACCAAGGCAACGAUCAGUAGGGGUUCUGAGAGGAAGGUCCCCCACAUUGGAACUGAGACACGGUCCAAACUCCUACGGGAGGCAGCAGUGAGGAAUAUUGGUCAAUGGGCGAGAGCCUGAACCAGCCAAGUAGCGUGCAGGAAGACGGCCCUAUGGGUUGUAAGCUGCUUUUAUAGGGGAAUAAAGUGAGCCACGUGUGGCCUUUUGCAGGUACCGCAUGAAUAGGACCGGCUAAUUCCGUGCCAG